CUGAAGUGAAUGGUAGGUGACUAUGCAACUGGCAGUGGCUGUAUUGAUCAACAUGCAAAUCAAUAAUAAUAGAUCACUGUAGAGCUAGGAGGCAGGAUGACUCUAUUCUUUACUGAAACAGUAAUUAUUGUCUCUCAGUAGCAGCGCCACUGGGAAUAGAACCGGAAAGUAAUAAAAGUGAAAUGGACACAUAACCCUUUGAAGUGAAGUGAAUGAUGUAAUAACCAGACAAAUGUCUCAAAACAGACCUGCUGUGACAGACCUGAUCAGCUAUUUUCUCAAGCUUGAAUGAACAGGUUGUACACCAGUAUGGUGGGGGUGUACUGUAUGUGGAGAAUGGAAAAGGUGAAGGAGCAGCAAAUGGAUAGUCAAAGUGGACGCAUCAGCUCCUAAUUGAAAACAUUGGUAGCGGGCUCUGGAAGGAAGACUCGAGAUGUCUGGAGGAGAAGGAUCUAAGGGGGGCCUUUGAUCUCAGUGCUUGUCUGCCAUCCUGUUUUCCUUGAAGGUUUCCUGGUUUGUUUCAGUGGACACUGCCCCACUCUUGGGGAUAGGAUGCUAAUGGAUCACUUAAAGGGGCCUCUUCUUUAGUGCAUGUCUAAGUGUUAUCAGAUGGGUUGAACACAGUCAAGUCUCCUGAAAUGAAUUACUUAAAGAAGGGUUUGUGUCAGAUAACCCCACUGAGUAUUACAGUAGCUUUUUAAAAAGGGGUUAUGUUCUUUUCUGUGGUCAGAUUCAAAGGAGAUCCAGAUCCCUUUUUCGGCUAUUUGUCUAAACUAUGCAACACAAAGACAGGGACAGAUUCCAGAGCAAAAAGUAGACCCUGAAUGUAUAAGUGUAUAAGUGGAUCCAAAAUGUGACAAGGUGCAGCAAAUUCAAAUCAUACUGAUUAUAACCAUGAGCCGUUUAUUUAUGUGAAUACUUAAUUAUUUAUUCCCAGUACUGAACCAUGUUUGUUAUAUAUGCAGUACUUUAUAUAAUUUGUAUUCACAUGUAACUUUACAACAUUAACUGCCUGUAAUUACUGAGUAUUUACAUAGUAGUUACAUAGUAAAUCCAUGCGUACUUCUACUUAAUUACAAUUAUAAUAAUUAUGCAUAGUUACAGCGUAACUAAUGUGUUCAUCUUUUUGCAAGAUAUAACCCUAGCACCUUUUCCCCCUCCCCAGUCAGACAGUCACAACCUCAUCUGAAAACAUCAUUUAGUCACUGGUAGGUACACAGUGAAUAUUUAUUUAAGAUGACCAUUCUUUGCAGUUUGGCAAAUCAUUAUAUACUGAAAAUCAUGGGUUAGCAUGGAACACUUAUUGUUGAGCUUUUUCUGCUUGCUGAAUUUUUGCAGAUAUACAACAAUUAAACGUUUCUUUUAUAUUCAUUCAAUAAAUGUGUAAAAUGAAAUAUAAGGACAAAAUGUCUCACCUGUUCUGAAUUGGUCAUGUUACCUGCCCUUCUUGGUGACUGGCUCAGAGUUGUAGUAGUUCAUACUGUAGAGCACAUUGUACAUGUAUGAUGUCACUGAAAUCUGAUUGUACAUCAAUAAACAGAAUCAUCCAUAUAUUAUGUUUUGAUAUGACAAAAAGUAUCUGCCCAAAAUGAAAAAUCUGUGCUGGUCUGUGGUGCUGGGGAGGUGGUGCUUUUACUACACUCAAUCAUAUCAUGGUGUCCCUAUCAAAAUGUAUAAUAGUGCACUUCAAAAAAAAUGUAAAUGGUUUUAAUGAGCAAGCCAAAAGUGCAGAAUAUCUGGGUGGGAUCUUUUAAAUGGGUCCUUAUUCAUCAGAUAUUAUGUAGAAUCCAGAGAUUGCUGUUGGCUGCAAUGCUGAUAAAGACAGUGGACUAUCCACCUGAUUGCAGUUUGGAACGUGAGCUGUAUUUAUCCAGGUAUGCUACAACAUUCCUGAUAUAUAGAAAGGCAUGAGAAACUAUUGCAGCUAUAACAUAGGUCAUUAUUAACCUUUAAGUAUGACAAAACAAUACAAUCACACUAGUUCUGAUUUUAGUUUUUUCUUCUAUAAAAAUAAAAAUGAGCAAUAAAACAAAUUAGCAGUAAAUCCAGUCAUAAUUUACAUGCUGCUAAUAGAAGAGACAGUAAUAAUUCAUAAUAAAAGGUCUGUUGUGAACACGCGCUCCAGUUUAGUCACAGUAAUUUCAAUGAAUUUUCAUUGCAUGUAUUCAUUACAUGACUAAAUGAUGCAAAAAACAGAAAUCAGAAAAAAAAAAAACAUGGCUGCUUGGUUUAAGA